CAGAGCCAGGCCAUGAAAGUCUAAGCAAAUUAGUUGAGUGACACAGAGACCAUGUCAUUUUCAUUGCCUUAUUGUCACGCACUAUGGACCUCUUGAGGCAAGAAUUUGAAUGAUGGUUGCUGCGUAGAGGACUGGAAGAGCAUUUAUUCGAUGUAAUGCGCCCGGCAGCUAGCCCUAUGUGCACGCAGCAUUGCCCAGAUCUUUCCCUCUCCCACUCCUAUAUAAACGUCUCUUCACUGUUUUCCCUUCCCACUUAGCUUCACAAACCUCUCUGCAUUUUGAUUUCUCUCUUAAAUUCUCUUCCAUUCAAGCUUCAAAAUGAGGGGAUCUCUCCUUCUUUCUGCUCGGUCUGCGUCGCAGCCGUUGUCCUCUCCGCUUUGGCUAUGAACUCAAUAUCUGAAGGAGUGUCGUGGAGAUUUUAACGGACUUUCUCUGGUUUCUCUCGACGUGUUCGAAACCAAGAUCUUGUAAAAUAGAAGGAAAAGAUGUGGAGACUUGAGGCUUAAAGAUUGAAACUUUCAUUGAUUAUGCAAAGUAUUUGGUUACUGAGAAACGAAGAAUGAACUGGGUUUUUGUUGACUUUUGAUUCUCUGAAGGGAAAUUGAAGAAAUCAAUUAACUAGUAAUUCACUGUACAUGUUUCCUCACCCCUUCACCUUACUUUGUUUUUGGCUACUUUUAUGUAGGCUUUGUCUUCCUUGCAAGUAGAGCUGAAUGCAAUCUGAUUUCUCGUUUGCAAUCCGAAUGGUAGAGUUUCUGUUUGUGCUAGCCUGCGAAUAAUGGAAAAUUCCUUGAAGAAAGAUUUACCUUGGUUACUGAAAUUAUUGUGAACCGUCAUGUCAAUUAUAGUUUAUGUAUCGACUGAAAAUGAAAGCUAUUUCACUAUUCUGUGCACACAAUUCUUGAAACACUAAUCAAGGUUUUUGAAAGUAUUGGAGCAUUGUACACAGAAUAGGUGAAAUAACUUCCAUUUUCAUUCGAUACGCAACUAAAAUUGUAAAUAUAGUUCAGUCUCAUUUUGGAAGCCAAGCUAAAGGAGACCGCUGCAAUACCUAUGUGACCUGUUCCGCUCUAUGAAAAACCGACUGCUUCCAUUUGGGUCUUUCCCCAUUGACAACAUACCUGGUGCAGGAUCUUCUGAGUUUUUCCAGGAAAUAAGCCGCUUCACUUGCCCAGUGUACUUGUUAAUUCCAUGCUUUCCACCAGGUAACAUGUAUCAGUUGGAUUGUCAAAACUCCACCAAUAAAUGGCAGAUGGAUUUGAGCCAUCUCUAACGACAAUGUAUCUGCUGUACUAGUAUUCGGCAUUGAAGAUGCAAGAGAGCUGUUGACCAAACUGUUUCAGCAGUUAAAGAUUUAUAUACACGCAUUUCCACUUUAAAAAAAUAGGUAAGUGACAUGUUUAAUUUUAAUUGAUAAGUAGAAUGUCAUUAUGAUAAAACUAAUUGAAUAUCAAGCUGCUACAGUGCAUAAAGCAAUCCUGUGCUGUUUUUAUGCCAGCUUGGCUGUAAAUGAAUAGGAAAUUACUUUUUGAAGU